rnacentral:rRNA from 1 species
AUUGAACGCUGGCGGCAGGCCUAACACAUGCAAGUCGAGCGGUAACACAGAGAGCUUGCUCUCGGGUGACGAGCGGCGGACGGGUGAGUAAUGUCUGGGAAACUGCCUGAUGGAGGGGGAUAACUACUGGAAACGGUAGCUAAUACCGCAUAACGUCGCAAGACCAAAGUGGGAGACCUUCGGGCCUCAUGCCAUCAGAUGUGCCCAGAUGGGAUUAGCUAGUAGGUGGGGUAAUGGCUCACCUAGGCGACGAUCCCUAGCUGGUCUGAGAGGAUGACCAGCCACACUGGAACUGAGACACGGUCCAGACUCCUACGGGAGGCAGCAGUGGGGAAUAUUGCACAAUGGGCGCAAGCCUGAUGCAGCCAUGCCGCGUGUAUGAAGAAGGCCUUCGGGUUGUAAAGUACUUUCAGCGAGGAGGAAGGCAUUAAGGUUAAUAACCUUAGUGAUUGACGUUACUCGCAGAAGAAGCACCGGCUAACUCCGUGCCAGCCGCCGCAGUAAGAC